GAUGAACGCUAGCGGCAGGCUUAACACAUGCAAGUCGAGGGGCAGCGUAAAACAUUGCUUGCAAUGUUUGGUGGCGACCGGCGCACGGGUGCGUAGCGCGUAUGCCACCUACCUAUAACAGGGGGAUAACACUGAGAAAUUGGUACUAAUACCCCGUAACAUCAAGGUAGGCAUCUUCUUUUGUUUAAAGUUCCGGCGGGUAUAGCUGGGCAUGCGUUGUAUUAGCGAGUUGGUGGGGUAACGGCCCACCAAGGCGACGAUACAUAGGGGGACUGAGAGGUUAACCCCCCACAGUGGUACUGAGACACGGACCAAACUCCUACGGGAGGCAGCAGUGAGGAAUAUUGGUCAAUGGACGCAAGUCUGAACCAGCCAUGCCGCGUGCAGGAUGACGGCUCUAUGAGUUGUAAACUGCUUUUGUAUGAGGGUAAAAUUGGGUACGUGUACCCAACUGAAAGUAUCAUACGAAUAAGGAUCGGCUAACUCCGUGCCAGCCGCCGCAGUAACAC
rnacentral:rRNA from 1 species